AUACAACUUUCAGCAACGGAUCUCUUGGCUCUCGCAUCGAUGAAGAACGCAGCGAAAUGCGAUAAGUAAUGUGAAUUGCAGAAUUCAGUGAAUCAUCGAAUCUUUGAACGCACCUUGCGCUCCUUGGUAUUCCGAGGAGCAUGCCUGUUUGAGUGUCAUUAAAUUCUCAACCU
rnacentral:rRNA from 2 species